rnacentral:rRNA from 1 species
AGGGGCAGCGGGAGUAGCAAUACUUGCCGGCGACCGGCGCACGGGUGCGUAACACGUAUACAAUCUGCCUUCUACAGAGGGAUAGCCCGGAGAAAUUCGGAUUAAUACCUCAUAACAAAUGAAUUGGCAUCAAUUUAUUUUGAAAGAUCCGUCGGUAGAAGAUGAGUAUGCGUCUGAUUAGCUAGUUGGUGAGGUAAUGGCUCACCAAGGCCACGAUCAGUAGGGGAUCUGAGAGGACUACCCCCCACACUGGUACUGAGACACGGACCAGACUCCUACGGGAGGCAGCAGUAAGGAAUAUUGGACAAUGGAGGCAACUCUGAUCCAGCCAUGCCGCGUGCAGGAUGACUGCCCUAUGGGUUGUAAACUGCUUUUGUACGGGAGAAAACCCUUUCACGUGUGAAAGGUUGAUAGUACCGUAAGAAUAAGGAUCGGCUAACUUCGUGCCAGCAGCCGCGGUAAGACGAAGGAUCCAAGCGUUAUCCGGAUUCAUUGGGUUUAAAGGGUGCGU